rnacentral:rRNA from 1 species
GUAAGGAAUAUUGCACAAUGGGCGAAAGCCUGAUGCAGCGACGCCGCGUGGGCGAUGAAGGCCUUCGGGUUGUAAAGCCCUUUUCUGGGAGAAGAGAAAGGACGGUAUCCCAGGAAUAAGCGUCGGCUAACUACGUGCCAGCAGCCGCGGUAAAACGUAGGACGCGAGCGUUAUCCGGAUUCACUGGGCGUAAAGUGCGUUGAGGCGGUUCUGUAAGUUGGACGUGAAAGCCCCAGGCUUAACUUGGGGAGGCCGUUCAAUACUGCGGGACUAGAGGACAGCAGAGGGAGGCGGAAUUCCCGGUGUAGUGGUGAAAUGCGUAGAUAUCGGGAGGAACACCAGUGGCGAAGGCGGCUUCCUGGGCUGUUUCUGACGCUGAAGGCGAAAGCCAGGGGAGCGAACGGGAUUAGAAACCCUAGUAGUCC